GCUCCUCACAGGCCAUCCAGAAGAGCAUGUUCUCCUCGCUGAAUUCCGUCCGGAGGAACUCUCGGAAGGCAUUCCUGCCAGCUGGGCUUUCAGCACUUCUAGGCUUGGAGUCUCCACAGCAAGCUGUUCCAGUGCCUCACCACCCUCAUGGGGAAGAAACAAUGAUUCAAACCCCAUCAAAGGUACUUUCUCUCUAUUACAGUUUUACAGGUACUUCUGACUAGUGGAGCAAUUCUGGAGGCAGUUGCCUGACCCUUGGGGGAGGGUCUAAGCUCCUCUUUAUUAUUUUUGUAAGGCUGAGCACUGCCUGCUCACUUCAGAUGUCUGCUGGGUAGGAACAGGAACUAUGGUAAGAUUAUCUCAAUAAAAAUAAGAGAGGAGACUGCUUA